AGUCGUGCCCGCUUGUUUCACUUGCUCGCCUUCACCCCUCGUCGCCGCCGCCGCCACCGCCGUCGCCGUCGCAAGCGAUGAUGCUCAACAUCAACUUGUUCCGCACUGACAAGGGCGACAACCCAGACCUUAUUCGCGAGUCCCAGCGUAGUCGGUUCGCCUCCGUCGAGCUCGUCGACGAGGUCAUCGCCCUCGACAAGGCAUGGCGCGAAAGGCAGUUCGAGCUGGAUAAGAUCCGGCAGGAGCUUAACGCUACCAGCAAGAAGAUCGGCAAGCUCAAAGCCAGCAAGCAAGAAGAGGAAGCGAAGAAGCUCAUGGAGAGCACAGACGAAAUUAAGAAAAGGUUGACAGGCAAAGAAGUUGAGGUGUAGGAGGCCAAGAGCACCCUCGACGCCAAGGUCACGACGAUUGGCAACAUCGUGCAUGAGUCCGUGCCAGUCAGCAACGACGAGCAAAGGUGGUGUAUGGGUCGGUCAUUUACUCUCUGGUUACUCCUUGCCAAUGGACAUGCCGUCGCAAGUAAAUGUAAAGAGUUCUGAAGAGGUUGCUGGAAUGUGGAAGCACUCCAUCAAAGUUUCUUAUGAAGCAACAAAGGCAGCAUUUCCUGGUGGUGAAGUUAUCGCACAUCUUGAUCACAAGAUGGGAGAGUGUCGGAUGCUUCUUCAUAUACUAUUUCUUGGUCCGUCAAAUCUGCUUGACCCAAAUGCAAGUUUUGCUCAAAUGUGGCAAAAAUAAUUGUCUCAUCGAUUGUUAGCGCGCCUGCUUCCAGCAAAGUUUCAGAGAAGGAAAAGAUGGAAUGUAACUCAAAUUUUGGUGGCCGCACAAGUGUGGAGACUUGAAUUCAUAUAUACUUAGUUAGGCUCAAUAUUAGUGCAAACAGUUGAUAACCAAGUUUUUCAAUUAGUAUUUAGUUUUGGCUUUAGAGUACACUUAUGUAUGAGUUAUUUGACAAUAUUUAUUUAUGAGAUAUUGAAUGGUACUUAUCUA